AUGUGUGCAAGUGAGGACAGGGGCUUCCAAACGUUGUUCCAGCCCCCAGAUCCCAAUGGAAAGGAAAGAUGGGGUGAGCCACAUAGCUUCGCCCACCGGCAUGUGCUCAGAGGCUCUGAAGUUGUGAGGACAGGGAGCGCCUUUCACACCUGCGAUGGAUGUUUCUUCGCUCUUGCUCCUUCCCCCACCACACAUUUCUGUUGGCUGGUCCAGUUAUCUGGUCCUUAUUAUUUGAUGCUUGCUCAGAAGUGGGGUGGGCAAUGAGAGGCUAGAAGAGCUGUGGUCCUGCUUCAGCCUCAGACCCAGCCAAGCCCUGUAUCUCUGGUCUCAGGAAUGGAGUUUCUUCAAUGAUCUUGCACCUCACCCAGAUGCAGCAGUCCUCUAAUGGAUAGAAACAUCACUUUUACUUGAUUAAGUACUGAAUAAUAAAGUCAUUUUAAUGGUAUAACCUUCAGUUCAGUUGCUCAGUUGUGUCCGACUCUUUGGGACCCCAUGAAUCG
rnacentral:lncRNA from 1 species